UUGAAGGUUUUUUAGCAUGUGUUAUUACACAUGAAUGUGUUGAAUUAGUAAUCCCUUGUGUUAAGCUGUUGUUUUAGUGUUCUUUUGAUGAGUUUGGCUUGUUGUUAUGAAAAGUGUUUGUUUUGGCGAGUUUGAACGUUUUUGAGCAUGUGUAAUGGCAUGAAUGCGUUAAGCUGUUGUUUUAGUGUUCUUUGAUGAGUUUGGCUUGUUGUUAUGAACAUUGUUCGUUUUGGCCAGUUUGAAGGUUUUUUAGCAUGUGUAAUGCAUGAAUGUGUUGAAUUAGUAAUCCCUUGUGUUAAGCUGUUGUUUUAGUGUUCUUUUGAUGAGUUUGGCUUGUUGUUAUGAAAAGUGUUUGUUUUGGCGAGUUUGAAGGUUUUUGAGCAUGUGUAAUGGCAUGAAUGCGUUAAGCUGUUGUUUUAGUGUUCUGUUGAUGAGUUUGGCUUGUUGUUCUGAAACAUUGUUCGUUUUGGCCAGUUUGAAGGUUUUUGAGCAUGUGUAAUGGCAUGAAUGCGUUAAGCUGUUGUUUUAGUGUUCUUAUUGAUGACUUUGGCUUGUUGUUAUGAAAAGUGUUUGUUUUUGCGAGUUUGAACGUUUUUGAGCAUGUGUAAUGGCAUGAAUGCGUUAAGCUGUUGUUUUAGUGUUCUUAUGAUGAGUUUGGCUUGUUGUUAUGAACAUUGUUCGUUUUGGCCAGUUUGAAGGUUUUUGAGCAUGUGUAAUGGCAUGAAUGUGUUGAAUUAGUAAUCCCUUGUGUUAAGCUGUUGUUUUAGUGUUCUUUUGAUGACUUUGGCUUGUUGUUAUGAAAAGUGUUUGUUUUGGCGAGUUUGAACGUUUUUGAGCAUGUGUAAUGGCAUGAAUGCGUUAAGCUGUUGUUUUAGUGUUCUUUGAUGACUUUGGCUUGUUGUUAUGAACAUUGUUCGUUUUGGCCAGUUUGAAGGUUUUUAGCAUGUGUAAUGCAUGUGUAAUGGUGUGAAUGUAAUCCCUUGUGUUAAGCCGUUGUUUUAGUGUUCUUUUGAUGAGUUUGGCUUGUUGUUAUGAAAAGUGUUUGUUUUGGCGAGUUUGAACGUUUUUGAGCAUGUGUAAUGGCAUGAAUGCGUUAAGCUGUUGUUUUAGUGUUCUUAUGAUGAGUUUGGCUUGUUGUUAUGAACAUUGUUCGUUUUGGCCAGUUUGAAGGUUUUUUAGCAUGUGUAAUAGCAUGAAUGUGUUGAAUUAGUAAUCCCUUGUGUUAAGCCGUUGUUUUAGUGUUCUAUUGAUGACUUUGGCUUGUUGUUAUGAAAAGUGUUUGUUUUUGCGAGUUUGAACGUUUUUUAGCAUGUGUAAUGGCAUGAAUGCGUUAAGCUGUUGUUUUAGUGUUCUUAUGAUGAGUUUGG